rnacentral:rRNA from 1 species
AUUGAACGCUGGCGGCAGGCCUAACACAUGCAAGUCGAACGAGUGGCGGACGGGUGAGUAAUGUCUGGGAGACUGCCUGAUGGAGGGGGAUAACUACUGGAAACGGUAGCUAAUACCGCAUACCAUCAGAUGUGCCCAGAUGGGCUUAGCUAGUAGGUGGGGUAAUGGCUCCCCUGGGCGCCGAUCCCUAGCUGGUCUGAGAGGAUGACCAGCGACACUGGAACUGAGACACGGUCCAGACUCCUACGGGCGUCAUCAGUGGGGAAUGUUGCGCAAUGGGCGCAAGCCUGAUGCAGCCAUGCCGCGUGUAUGAAGAAGGCCUUCGGGUUGUAAGGUACUUUCAGCGGUGAGGCGUUACCCGCAGAAGAAGCACCGGCUAACUCCGUGCCAGCAGCCGCGGUAAUUC